GAUCUUGUAGCCCAAUGGAUAAGGCGUUAGAUUCCGGAUCUAAAGAUUGUGGGUUCAAGUCCCAUCAAGAUCG